rnacentral:rRNA from 1 species
UACAGAGGUCUCAAGCGUUGUUCGGAUUCAUUGGGCGUAAAGGGUGCGCAGGCGGCGCGGCAAGUCGGACGUGAAAUCUCGGGGCUUAACCCCGAAACUGCGUUCGAUACUGCCCUGCUUGAGGACUGGAGAGGAGACUGGAAUUCCUGGUGUAGCAGUGAAAUGCGUAGAUAUCAGGAGGAACGCCAAUGGCGAAGGCAAGUCUCUGGACAGUUCCUGACGCUCAUGCACGAAGGCCAGGGGAGCAAACGGG